rnacentral:rRNA from 1 species
CCUACGGGAGGCUGCAGUGGGGAAUAUUGGACAAUGGGCGAAAGCCUGAUCCAGCCAUGCCGCGUGUGUGAAGAAGGCCUUCGGGUUGUAAAGCACUUUCAGUGGGGAAGAAAGCCUUGGGGCUAAUACCCUCGAGGAAGGACAUCACCCACAGAAGAAGCACCGGCUAACUCCGUGCCAGCAGCCGCGGUAAUACGGAGGGUGCGAGCGUUAAUCGGAAUUACUGGGCGUAAAGCGCGCGUAGGCGGUCUGAUAAGCCGGUUGUGAAAGCCCCGGGCUCAACCUGGGAACGGCAUCCGGAACUGUCAGGCUAGAGUGUAGGAGAGGAAGGUAGAAUUCCCGGUGUAGCGGUGAAAUGCGUAGAGAUCGGGAGGAAUACCAGUGGCGAAGGCGGCCUUCUGGACUGACACUGACGCUGAGGUGCGAAAGCGUGGGUAGCAAACAGGAUUAGAACCCGAGUAGUC